rnacentral:rRNA from 1 species
GAUGAACGCUAGCUACAGGCUUAACACAUGCAAGUCGAGGGGAAACGACAUCGAAAGCUUGCUUUUGAUGGGCGUCGACCGGCGCACGGGUGAGUAACGCGUAUCCAACCUGCCCGUCACUUGGGAAUAACCUUGCGAAAGUAAGACUAAUGCCCAAUGACAUUUAUAGAAGGCAUCUGAAAUGAAUUAAAGAUUUAUCGGUGAUGGAUGGGGAUGCGUCUGAUUAGCUUGUUGGCGGGGUAACGGCCCACCAAGGCGACGAUCAGUAGGGGUUCUGAGAGGAAGGUCCCCCACAUUGGAACUGAGACACGGUCCAAACUCCUACGGGAGGCAGCAGUGAGGAAUAUUGGUCAAUGGGCGAGAGCCUGAACCAGCCAAGUAGCGUGCAGGAAGACGGCCCUAUGGGUUGUAAACUGCUUUUAUAGGGGAGUAACGUGCGGGACGGGUCCCGUAUUGAGAGUACCCGAAGAAAAAGCAAUCGGCUUAACNCCGUG